rnacentral:lncRNA from 1 species
GUGUUGAGGUUACUGAACCAGCUGCUUUUGAUGUUAACCAGGAGAACAACCUUUCUUUAGUCGAGUAUGAACUGGUGAACGUGGAAGAAUAGACGUGCUCAUGGGAAAUGGUAGUUUGAAGUUACAGUCGAAUUCUUGUUCCAAUGUGAAUUAAUUAUUAUUAUGCAUAUCCGGAAUUUCAUUGGAUUAAUGAGCAAAGAUGCCCAUAUUUUUUAGCUCAUGAAGAUCCAAUACAAUCAACACCAUAUGAUGCUGUUGCUCUGUUCACUUGGUGGGUUAACUAGUUAUAUAGCGUGUUUUUCUUUUUUCUUAACUUUUUCAGUCAUUUCCCAUGUUGUACGAGGUGAAAAACCAGUUCCUAAGAAUGAGUAUUGAUGUCUUUGUAUUUCUAAACACACAUUGUAAAAGAAGCUAUCAAAACACACCAAAUUAUGCUAUGAAAACACACAAUGUAAAAGAAGCUGUUCGCUACUUGGUGUCAAUGUGGGGUCUGUGAACUUUUGUUACUCUCAUGUUACGACAAUUCGAGCUUGCUUGAUUGGAUUCCAUGAAAUUUGCGGCAAACAAAUGGGAUGAUUACAUUUGCAAAUCAAACAUAAGGGCUACUGAACGUUGUAUGCUCCCACUGGCCACUGUAGCUUGUUUAAUUUAAAUUUGCUAAUUGUGAUGAAGAAAAUCUCAUGAAGAUAACGUAUUUUUUGUUAAAAGAAGUCAAAUAUGGCCACCUAGCGUUUUAGUUUAGGAAAAAUGUCAAAAAAUAAACAACUACCUUACUAGAUGUUGCAACAGAGAUGCCGAAAAAUAAAUAGAAAAUAGAUGAAAAAGCGGUGCUUGAAAAUCUCUAGAUCUCAAUUUGCAUCUGAGAAAGCAAUUGCGGGGUGAAAAAUUAAAGGACAAAAGAAAGAUCUUAUUUAUAUACACAUUUAACACUGCAAGUUCUUUUAAUUUUAAUUCAUCCAGAUAAACAAUAAAAUAUUUUAGCUUGUUAGAAAUCACAAAUCAUCCAGAUAAAAACUCGCAAAUAAUUANUUGUCGUUGUUGGGGAAAUACUGGUUUAUUACAUCACACUGGGUCUGAUGUUGGGGAAAUACUGGUUUAUGCUAUUGAUUUGUUUGGCAUGCCUAUUUGACUGCAAUUGAUGAAUCAUUUGUGUAUUGAGAUUUGAGGUUGCCUACAAAAGAUGCAGAUAUAUAGGCUGAUGGCUAUUGGAGUUUGUCAUGCUUUGAACUGUUUGAUGUGGUUUUGUGCAUGAACAAGAGUACUUCCCUUUUUUUGGGUAAAUUGUUAAUGGUUUUAUAUUUGGAUAUUCACAUAUUUCCUUUUAUAAUCAGUUGAUAUAAUGAAGCCUGGGACAACUGUCAUUCUGCGAAAUGCGAAGAUAGACAUGUUCAAGGGUGCCAUGCGCCUUGCAGUAGACAAAUGGGGUCGUGUUGAGGUUACUGAACCAGCUGCUUUUGAUGUUAACCAGGAGAACAACCUUUCUUUAGUCGAGUAUGAACUGGUGAACGUGGAAGAAUAGACGUGCUCAUGGGAAAUGGUAGUUUGAAGUUACAGUCGAAUUCUUGUUCCAAUGUGAAUUAAUUAUUAUUAUGCAUAUCCGGAAUUUCAUUGGAUUAAUGAGCAAAGAUGCCCAUAUUUUUUAGCUCAUGAAGAUCCAAU